GACGAACGCUGGCGGCGUGCUUAACACAUGCAAGUCGUACGGUAAGGCCCUUUCGGGGGUACACGAGUGGCGAACGGGUGAGUAACACGUGAGUAACCUGCCCACAACUUUGGGAUAACGCUAGGAAACUGGUGCUAAUACUGGAUAUGUGCUCCUGCUGCAUGGUGGGGGUUGGAAAGCUCCGGCGGUUGUGGAUGGACUCGCGGCCUAUCAGCUUGUUGGUGGGGUAGUGGCCUACCAAGGCGGCGACGGGUAGCCGGCCUGAGAGGGUGACCGGCCACAUUGGGACUGAGAUACGGCCCAGACUCCGACGGGAGGCAGCAGGGGGGAAUAUUGCACAAUGGGCGCAAGCCUGAUGCAGCAACGCCGCGGGCGGGAGGACAGCCUUCGGGUUGUAAACCGCUUUCAGCAGGGACGAAGCUUUUUGUGACGGUACCUGCAGAAGAAGCACCGGCUAACUACGUG
rnacentral:rRNA from 1 species